UAAACCAUCUUACACCUCUGCCACUAAGUGAAUUUGUAGUACUGGUGAAUCACCAUUUCGAUCGGCCGUGCUAUGCUCUCACUUCAAGCCCAUGUGGCACGAAUCAUUUUAUUCGAUUGCUACAACAAAUUCAAAUUAGAGUAGAGAAAACUCGACCAAUGUAUGCAGUUUAGGCUCUGAUUUCCUCCAGGACACCAUAUUUCAGCUGUCCCCGGAAACGGCAUUUGUGGUGUCCUCUAUCCAGCAAAUGGAUGUGGUACUUUUGAUUCACUAGGGAUGAACAAAACGGAAUCGUACUAGUAUAGUAUUGAAUUAUAUGAAUACGAAAUGAUUCCUAGUUUCCAGUUGCAUCUCAUUCCUACUGU
rnacentral:lncRNA from 1 species